UGAACUUAAGCAUAUCAUAA
rnacentral:rRNA from 1 species